rnacentral:miRNA from 1 species
AUGGGCCGCUCUUGCCCGC